GCUGGGCAUGGUGGUGCAUGCCUGUAAUCCCAGUAGCUUGGGAGGCUGAGGGAGGAGUAUUGUGGGUUCAAAGCCAGCCUCAGCAACUUAGCAAGGCACUUAGCAACUCAGUGAGACCCUGUGUCUA
rnacentral:sRNA from 1 species